ACACGUAGGUGGCAAGCGUUGUCCGGAAUUACUGGGUGUAAAGGGUGCGUAGGCGGGUAUGCAAGUCAGAUGUGAAAUACCGGGGCUCAACUCCGGGGUGGCAUUUGAAACUGUGUAUCUUGAGUGCAGGAGAGGGAAGCGGAAUUCCUAGUGUAGCGGUGAAAUGCGUAGAGAUUAGGAAGAACACCAGUGGCGAAGGCGGCUUUCUGGACUGCAACUGACGCUAAGGCACGAAAGCGUGGGGAGCGAACAGGAUUAGAUACCCUGGUAGUCCACGCUGUAAACGAUGGAUACUAGGUGUAGGUGUGGAUAACACAGCUGUGCCGGAGUUAACACAAUAAGUAUCCCACCUGGGGAGUACGACCGCAAGGUUGAA
rnacentral:rRNA from 1 species